CUACUUUGUUUCAGCCAGAGCCUGCAAAGCCACGAUUCAGCUUUUUACCGCCUUCUGAGACCCUAUGGCAGCCGUAGGAAGUGUCACGGGACAGCUAAGAUCCUCACUCUUCAAUAAACAGAGACAAGAAGAACGACACCUUGUCAGACAGGCCACUUCCUGCCUGAAACCUUCAGGUUUUUGCCUGCCAAAUGAGUUCUGUUAUACUCACAGACACCAUUCAAACAGUUUUAGAAACUUUAGGGUGUUUUCUAUCCAUAUGUAAUAAGUAUAUGCAUAUUCUAGUUACUGGGCAGGAGUGGUAACCAGAUUAAAUCGGGCACGUUUUUUAUCCAGCCGUGAAAAUACUGCCCCCUAGCCAUAACAGGAUAACUGUGGGACAUAACCAUCAAUUUAUUUGACCACAUUUAUUAAUAUUUUAUAGAGCAUGAAAUACGGUUAUAGGUGAUUGGUGACCCAUUUAUGCAGGGCUUAUGAAGCCUAUAUGAAUGCUUUAUGAAGCCUUUAGGUCUGGGUAUAUAUGCAUUUUAUUAUUUGUAUUGUAGAUACUAGCAUGUAUACCUCGAGAGUCUACUGGGCCUGUAUAUUGUGUGUAAACCUUUACUUAUGGUUAUUCUUUUCUUGUAUCGUUCCAUAGAACCACUUUUAUACACUCAUUCUUACUGUGAGCCAUCAUUACAGAGGAGUGUGGUGUGGUGAACCUUUAUCUUGAAUAAACCUGUCUAAAGAUAUCUUGGACCUCUUGCCAGACAGACCUCUGGUGGCUGAACCCUGUCUAUUGGCAUCUAAUAGCUCUCUACUAGUUCCCGUUCUACAUGGUGCUGUCGGAUCAGCGCCUUAAUAUUUUUCAUGGUCCUUUGAGCCGGAUAUCAUCACUACCACAGCCCAAGAUGUCUCAGAGCUACGCAGAGUCCAGGUAUUGGUCACCACACACAUCAGAGUCUUCUCUCCCUGAACGAAGACGAGCAGACAAGCCUCAAGACAUGACAUGCCACUUCGCCUUCACUGGUCACGAUGACCAGUGAGCAGAAUAUUGGUUGCAUCCUAUCAGGGAGAGGACCUCACCACGGGAGACCCUUCUGACGUCCCCGUGGGGGACACUCCAGAUUUGCAUGUGUGCAGCUGUCUCCUGUCCUCAGAUCUCUACCCAUCGCUGUUGUGUGGUUCCAGCUGAUCUCAGCUCCUGACCUGCACAGUCCUUUCCUGUCGCUGACAUGGGUCUGGCUGUCUGCUGUCCUGAGAUCUCGGCGCGUGGCUGCUGUGGAGAUCCAGCCCACCUUAGCUGCAGUUUCGGAGCCCUUACCUGUUGUUGCUGUGGAGGCCCAACUGAGCCCUGCUGCUGCGGCUUGGCCUCCUGAUCUAGGGCUUUCGUCUUGUUGCCCUGCUGCGGCCUAGCCUCCUGAUCCAGGGCCUCUGUCUGGUAGCUGCUGCCCGUUGCUGCUUUGUGGGUCCAGCCACCAAAGUAUCCACUCCUGAGACUAUCAUCAAGCUCUGCUGCAGCGGCCCCGAUGUCUCCAGUCCCGGUGUCUUCAGCCGACACCAUGCCAGGGGUCAAGAGCACUGCAGAGGUCCUCCUGUUGCCUUUUUUUGGGCAGAGGGGGUGACCGCAACCGAGUCCACCACUGCAUCCUGUUGGCUCCCCUCUUCAAGAACUGCUGUACAGCCUGCACUGGUGUCCGCCAUGUCACUCUGGUUUGGUGACCUCAAGCACCUUCCUGACGGGGUGGCCAGAUGCCCAAAGAACCAAACCCUGCUUGGCCAGAUGCCUAUGCUCUAUGUCUAUGCCCUACUUGGCCAGACACUCACAAGGACUGGACUUUUCCUUGUCUGGCUCCUUCACAGCUCUGCUUCCCUGUCUAGGACAAUGAACACACACUAGUGGCCUUCUGUCAUCCCCUUUGUUAGAGCCUUUUGUUUAGAGUUCACAUUUACACAGUAAAUGUGGGGGUGGCUGUUAGAAAGGCCAACUCUGAUUUAGUAGUUUCAGCACCCCUUUUCUAGUAGUUUAUUAUAUUUGCCCAACACCCCUUAUUUCUCACAGUAGUGGUACCUGGAAUCUGUUACAUUCCAGUCAUGUUUUCAGUUAUUAUGCUUACCAGUAUUUUGGUCCUGUAAGUGUAAUACUGUAGCUUGUGUAUUUGGUUUGGGCGCUUACAUUAUAUCUUGGUAUAAACAGUAUACUCAUGGUUAUAUUUUUUUAAAUCUUUCCAUAGAACCACGUUUAUACACUCUCACUUUUACUGUGAGCCAUCAUUACAGAGGAGUGUGGUGUGGUGAACCUUUAUCUUUAAUAAACCUGACAAUACUGUGAGCUCCAAAAGUAUUGGGACAGUGACACAUUUCUUGUUGUUUUGUCUCUGUACUCUAGCACUUUGGAUUAGAAAUGAUGGUAACACUUUACUUGACAGUUGUUAUGAUAUGGUCAUAACACUGUCAUGACACAUAUAUUUAGACCUCUUGUGACAUAUAUUGCAUUAUUUUAUGGCUGG
rnacentral:lncRNA from 1 species